UGCGUAGGCGGUUUGAUAAGUCAGAGGUGAAAGCCCACAGCUCAACUGUGGAAUUGCCUUUGAUACUGUUAGACUUGAAUCAGGUUGAGGUUGGCGGAAUGUGGCAUGUAGCGGUGAAAUGCAUAGAUAUGCCAUAGAACACCAAUUGCGAAGGCAGCUGACUAGACCUGUAUUGACGCUGAGGCACGAAAGCGUGGGGAGCGAACAGGAUUAGAUACCCUGGUAGUCC
rnacentral:rRNA from 1 species